AUUGAACGCUGGCGGCAGGCCUAACACAUGCAAGUCGAACGAGUGGCGGACGGGUGAGUAAUUUAUGGACAACUGGCUGAUGGAGGGGGCUAACUACUGGAAACGGUAGCUAAUACCGCUUACCAUCGGAUGUGCUCUGAUGGGAUUAGCUAGUCGGUGGGGUAAAGGCUCACCUGGGCGUAGAGACCUAGCUGGUCUGAGAGGCUGACCGGCCACACUGGAACUGAGACACGGCCCAGACUCAUACGGUAGGCAGCAGUGGGGAAUAUUGCGCAAUGGACGAAAGCCUGAUGGAGCCAUGCCGCGUGGAUUAAGAAGGUCUUCGGGUUGUAAAAUACUUUUGGCAGGGAGGCGUUACCCAACGAGAAAGCAACGGCUAACUCCGUGCCAGCAGCCGCGGUAAUUC
rnacentral:rRNA from 1 species